GCGAACGGGUGAGUAACACGUGGGCAAUCUGCCCUGCACUCUGGGACAAGCCCUGGAAACGGGGUCUAAUACCGGAUACUGACCCUCGCAGGCAUCUGCGAGGUUCGAAAGCUCCGGCGGUGCAGGAUGAGCCCGCGGCCUAUCAGCUAGUUGGUGAGGUAAUGGCUCACCAAGGCGACGACGGGUAGCCGGCCUGAGAGGGCGACCGGCCACACUGGGACUGAGACACGGCCCAGACUCCUACGGGAGGCAGCAGUGGGGAAUAUUGCACAAUGGGCGAAAGCCUGAUGCAGCGACGCCGCGUGAGGGAUGACGGCCUUCGGGUUGUAAACCUCUUUCAGCAGGGAAGAAGCGAAAGUGACGGUACCUGCAGAAGAAGCGCCGGCUAACUACGUGCCAGCAGCCGCGGUAAUACGUAGGGCGCAAGCGUUGUCCGGAAUUAUUGGGCGUAAAGAGCUCGUAGGCGGCUUGUCACGUCGGUUGUGAAAGCCCGGGGCUUAACCCCGGGUCUGCAGUCGAUACGGG
rnacentral:rRNA from 1 species